AUAACAGAGAGUCAAUAAAAUUAUGGCCAAGUAGAGGUUGAAUUCGAGUUCAAAGUUCAGGAAUAGGUUUCCAGCUGGUUAUGCCAAUUUUUUGAGAUUUCUGAUGACGUGCUCAUUAUCACAGCCUCAGGACCAAUUACACAAUGCAUGUUCAAGCUCAGAGAAUUUCAAAAUGCAAUCACUGCUCUGGCCAGUUGAGGGCGGAAUUGCCCUUCUUUUUGCACAUACAUCGUGCUUAUGCGUUUGGAAAAGAGGAACCAUCAAACCAUCUGCCGAAAGGGGGCACUCAGCUAAGGAAGGAAAAUGAGAAUGG
rnacentral:lncRNA from 10 species